UGGCUCCUACGGGACGCAGCAGUGAGGAAUAUUGGUCAAUGGGCUUACGCCUGAACCAGCCACGUCGCGUGAGGGAGGACUGCCCUAUGGGUUGUAAACCUCUUUUGUCAGGGAGCAACGCCGGCUACGUGUAGCCGGACUGAGAGUACCUGAAGAAAAAGCAUCGGCUAACUCCGUGCCAGCAGCCGCGGUAAUACGGAGGAUGCGAGCGUUAUCCGGAUUUAUUGGGUUUAAAGGGUGCGUAGGCGGAAUGCCAAGUCAGCGGUAAAAUCGCGGGGCUCAACCUCGCUCGGCCGU
rnacentral:rRNA from 1 species